UAACUGAAGAGUUUGAUCAUGGCUCAGAUUGAACGCUGGCGGCAGGCUUAACACAUGCAAGUCGAGCGGGGGAAGGUAGCUUGCUACUGGACCUAGCGGCGGACGGGUGAGUAAUGCUUAGGAAUCUGCCUAUUAGUGGG
rnacentral:rRNA from 1 species